rnacentral:misc_RNA from 1 species
UAAUAAGUGGUUUAUGGCACUUUUUAAAUCCAUAUCCACCUUGUGUGCAAUGUCAGUCGAUCUUCUUCAUGGAGAUCGACCAAACAUCAACCUUUAUCUUUUAACUCUUUGUCUGAAAAAUAUUAUGAAUAAACAAUUCAAAAUA